CGGUUCGCGAUUCAGUUCAAUCACUCACUCCUGCGCCUCUGAGUCGUUUGAAGCGGUUAGCGUUAUUUUAGAGCAGGACAUGAUCUGAAAAACGUGGAUAUUUUGCCCACAGUCCACAGAAACAAACUCAAACUUCAUCCAGUGUUUUCCCAGUUACGGAAGAUAUCUUGUGAAGUAGAAGUAGCCGAACAGACCCCACUGCACGAGGAGCUUGAGGAACUUCAGGGAGAGUGCAUUAUGUGUAAAGAUUGGCGUCCACGGCGGGAUGAGGCCUUUCGGGUCAACAGAGGUGAUUUUGAACACAAAAGCUCUUCAGGCUGUCUGGAGGAAGUCAUGCGGCUGGAAAUGUAUUACUGCAAACCGGUGCAAGAUAUCCAGCAUCCAUAAUUGAGGAGCAUUUGAUAAAUCGCUGGUAUUUUCCAUUUGCCAGCUGUGUAUGGUAAAGACUGUUUUGCUGGAAGGAAACUCACCCUGCUCUAAAAAAAUAAAAAAACAUUUUCAACCUGAUCGUUUAGCAUGCUAAACAUGUAGGGCAAAAUGUGACUUAUUUAUUUCUCGUCUGAGCUCAGCAUGUGAAGAUGGACAUUUUCCAACUUCUGCCGAAAUGUAUUUGGUCUAUAUGUUAAUAUAAACCCUGCCUGAGAUGCUUGUUUCUAUUCAUAAACUCAGAGGGUGAAAGUGAAAAGGGAUUUUCUGCGUUCACUGACUUGUCUGCAAUAUUAUUUUAACAUUAUGAAGGGGUUCAAGUAUAAAAUUGUUCUGCGCUUGUAGGUAUUAAAAUAACAUAUUAUUGUGAUCUAAGUGGAUUUAGUGUGGCUCCCGAAGUAGGUUAUUGGUAUUGGGUCAAACUUUAGAGGUAAAGUAUUGACCUGAAAUGCAGUUUUGUACGAUGAAUUUGCGAAAUGUUCUGCUAAAGUUGUUUAGCCCAGUUCUGUCACUGUAAGUUCCUGUCUCUGUAAAACCUGCAGUCGUGUAACUUUGAUCAUUUUACAUGUCAAUCAAAUACUUCUCCGCACUGCCUCAUGUAUUUUUCUGAAAGCAAAUGGAGACUAAAUGGACUAAAAGUACUUUUUUUAUAGAUACAUAUACAGCUAAAGUCAGAUUUAUUACCCCCC
rnacentral:lncRNA from 1 species